ACGCGAAAGGGGCUUCGGCCCUGAGUAGAGUGGCGAACGGGUGAGUAACACGUGGGUGACCUGCCUUCGAGUGGGGGAUAACGUCCCGAAAGGGACGCUAAUACCGCAUGACAUCCUGCUCUUGGACGAGCGGAGAUCAAAGCUGGGGAUCGCAAGACCUGGCGCUUGAAGAGGGGCCCGCGCCUGAUUAGCUAGUUGGUGGGGUAAUGGCCUACCAAGGCAACGAUCAGUAUCCGGCCUGAGAGGGCGGACGGACACACUGGGACUGAGACACGGCCCAGACUCCUACGGGAGGCAGCAGUGGGGAAUUGUUCGCAAUGGGCGCAAGCCUGACGACGCAACGCCGCGUGGAGGAUGAAGAUCUUCGGGUCGUAAACUCCUGUCGAGCGGGACGAACACCUGCCGGUUCAAUACCCCGGCAGGCUGACGGUACCGCUAAAGGAAGCCCCGGCUAACUCCGUGCCAGCAGCCGCGGUAAUACGGGGGGGGCAAGCGUUG
rnacentral:rRNA from 1 species